rnacentral:rRNA from 1 species
AUGCUCAAUAGGUUAACUAUAUCUAGAGGAGGAAGAAUGGAGAUCCAUUUUGAGGCAGGUUCAAAAAGGCCACGUGAUGCUACAGAGUCAGCCAAGUUAGUAUCAAAGGCAGCGGUUGCCAUUAGGUGUCAUGUACGUAUCCUCCCAACAUGGAUUCAGUACAGGAAUGACAAAGAUGAAACCCAGUUCAACACCUUCCUCGACCAUUUAUCUAUGAGGUUCAAGUUGGAUAGCCAAGAUGAUGCAACCAGACAAGCUUGCACCCAUGUUUUCAAGUCUGCUCUGCGACAGUAUCGGUAUAACUUGAGGAAAACUCGCUUUGAAGGCAAGGCCAACAGUGAACUUUCCCAAACAUCUCCAGUGAAAAAUAUAUCGGAUGAAGACUAG